UAACAUGUGCUACAACAUAGAUGAACUUUGAAAAUGUUAUUCUAAGUUUAAAAAGCCAAAUAGAAAAGAAGAAAUAUUAUGUGAUUUCACUUAUAUAAGGUACCUAGAAUAGGCAAAUUCAUAGAUAAAGAAAGCAGAUUAUAGAUUACCAGGGGCUGUGAUAGGGAGGAAUGGAGAUGUAUCACUUAAUAGGUGUGAAGUUUCUGUUACAGUGAUGGAAAUGUUUUGAAAUAACUGUAGAUAGUGUUGAUAAAUGUACAACAUUGCGAAUAUAAUUGAUGCCACUGAGUUAUACACUUAAAAUACUUAAAAACGGCAAAUUUUGUUAUAUAUAUUUUACCACAAUAAAAAAAAUUGCAUAAUGUUAUCCUUCCUGCAUUAGUCUUUUCUGAAACUAUUUGAUCUCUCUCAUUUGCUUCUCCACGUAAAUUUUCUAAUCAGCUUUUCUAUAUCUACAAAUAAUUCUGUUGGGAUUUGGAUAAGAAUUACAUUAGACUUACAGAUUUGGGAAGUACUGACACCUUUACUAUGAAGAUAAACACAGUAUGUUUGUCCGUUUAUUUUGUUACUCUUUGAUUUAUUUCAUUUAUAUUUUGUAGUUUUCACUAAACAGAAUCUGAGAAGGCUUUUUUAGAAUAUAUAUUUUAGCUAUGUCCUUUUUGGGUUUUUUAGUAACUAUAAAUGUCAGGCCUCUGAGCCCAAGCCAAGCCAUCGCAUCCCCUGUGACCUGCACGUAUACGCCCAGAUGGCCUGAAGUAAGUAAAGAAUCACAAAAGAAGUGAAUAUGCCCUGCCCCACCUUAACUGAUGACAUUCCACCACAAAAGAAGUGUAAAUGGCCGGUCCUUGCCUUAACUGAUGACAUUACCUUGUGAAAGUCCUUUUCCUGGCUCAUCCUGGCUCAAAAACACCCCCACUGAGCACCUUGGGACCCCUACUCCUGCCUGCCAGAGAACAAACCCCCUUUGACUGUAAUUUUCCUUUACCUACCCAAAUCCUAUAAAACGGCCCCACCCCUAUCUCCCUUCGCUGACUCUCUUUUCGGACUCAGCUCGCCUGCACCCAGGUGAAAUAAACAGCUUUAUUGCUCACACAAAGCCUGUUUGGUGGUCUCUUCAGACGGACGUGCAUGAAAUUUGGUGCCGUGACUCGGAUCGGGGGACCUCCCUUGGGAGAUCAAUCCCCUGUCCUCCUGCUCUGUGCUCCGUGAGAAAGAUCCACCUACGACCUCAGGUCCUCAGACCGACCAGCCCAAUAAACAUCUCACCAAUUUCAAAUCCGGUAAGCGGCCUCUUUUUACUCUCUUCUCCAACCUCCCUCACUAUCCCUCAACCUCUUUCUCCUUUCAAUCUUGGCACCACACUUCAAUCUCUCCCUUCUCUUAAUUUCAAUUCAUUUCAUUUUCUGGUAGAGACAAAAGAGACAUGUUUUAUCCAUGAACCCAAAACUCCAGCGCCAGUCCCGGACUGGGAAGGCAGGCUUCCCUUGGUGUUUAAUCAUUGCAGGGACACCUCUCUGAUUACACACUCACGUUUCAAGGGUGUCAGACCACGCAGGGACACCUGCCUUGGUCCUUCACCCUUAGCGGCAAGUCCUGCUUUCCUAGGGGGCAAGAAGCCCCCAAUCGCUUAUUUCCGCACCCCAACCUCUUAUCUCUGUGCCCCAAUCCCUUAUUUCUGCACCCUGACCUCUUAUCUCUGUGCCCCAAUCCCUUAUUUCCGUGCCCCCACCCCUUCUCUGCUUUUCUGGAGGGCAAGAACCCCCCACCCCUUCUCUGUGUCUCUACUCUUUUCUCUGGGCUUGCCUCCUUCACUACGGGUAACCUUCCACCCUCCAUUCGUCCUUCUACUCCCUUGGCCUGUGUUCUCAAAAACUUAAAACCUCUUAAACUCACACCUGACCUAAAACCUAAAUGCCUUAUUUUCUUCUGCAAUGCCGCUUGACCCCAAUACAAACUCGACAGUAGUUCCAAAUAGCCAGAAAAUGGCACUUUGAAUUUUUCCAUCCUGCAAGAUCUAAAUAAUUCUUGUCGUAAAAUAGGCAAAUGGUCUGAGGUGCCUGAUGUCCAGGCAUUCUUUUACACAUCGGUCCCUUCCUAGUCUCUGUGCCCAGUGCAACUCGUCCAAAAUCUUCCUUCUUUCCCUCCCGCCUGUCCCCUCAGUACCAACCCCAAGCGUCACUGAGUCUUUCUAAUCUUCCUUUUCUACAGACCCAUCUGACCUCUCCCUUCCUCCCCAGGCUGCUCCUCGCCAGGCCGAGCUAGGUCCCAAUUCUUCCUCAGCCUCCGCUCCUCCACCCUAUAAUCUUUUUAUCGCCUCCCCUCCUCACAGCUGGUCCGGCUUACAGUUUCGUUCCGUGACUAGCCUUCCCCCUCCUGCCCAGCAAUUUACUCUUAAACAGGUGGCUGGGGCUAAAAGCAUAGUCAAGGUUAAUGCUCCUUUUUCUUUAUCCCAAAUCGGAUAGCGUUUAGGCUCUUUUUCAUCAAAUAUAAAAAUCCAGCCCAGUUCAUGGCUCAUUUGGCAGCAACCCUGAGACUCUUUACAGCCCUAGACCCUAAAAACUCAAAAGGCCGUCUUAUUCUCAAUAUACAUUUUAUUACCCAAUCUGCUCCCGACAUUAAAUAAAACUCCAAAAAUUAAAUUCCGGCCCUCAAACCCCACAACAGGAUUUAAUUCACCUCGCCUUCAAGGUGUACAAUAAUAGAAAAAAGUUGCAAUUCCUUGCCUCCACUGUGAGACAAACCCCAGCCACAUCUCCAGCACACAAGAACUUCCAAACGACUGAACCGCAGCAGCCAGGCGUUCCUCCAGAACCUCCUCCCACAGGAGCUUGCUACACGUGCCGGAAAUCUGGCCACUGGGCCAAGGAAUGCCCGCAGCCUGGGAUUCCUCCUAAGCCACGUCCCAUCUGUGUGGGACCCCACUGAAAAUCUGACUGUUCAACUCACCUGGCAGCCACUCCCAGAGCCCCUGGAACUCUGGCCCAAGGCUCUCUGACUGACUCCUUCCCAGAUCUUGGCUUAGCAGCUGAAGACUGACACUGCCCGAUCGCCUCGGAAGCCCCCGAGACCAUCACGGACGCCGAGCUGCCAGUAACUCUCACAGUGGAAGGUGUGUUGUGAAUUAUCUGGAAAUGAUUCAGUUUUCAGAAGGAGCAACUGGCUAGGGUUCAAACUCUAGAGCAGCUGCAGCAAGGACAGCUCUCUACCCAAUACCAGCUCUCAUGAGCCCAGAUAUUGAUCUCUAAUCCUCUCCUCCCCUGGAAGAGAUCAGGACUUCCUGAUGGGUAUUUAUCUCAUAAUUCAUAAUUACAUAAUUCAUGUAAAAAUUUAAGAUGUUUCCAGAAAAUCUGGAGCUUCCACCCUUUAAGACUAUUACUGGAAGAGCUGAAAGUAGACAGCCAAAUUUGGACAAUUUGAGGAAACAUCAAAAUAAUAAUAGUUAAUGGCAUAUUAACUUAUAUUAAUUAAAUUGAUGAGGCAUGAUCUCAUAAUGACAAAAGAGAACUAUUGAUUUAAAAACGUAAAGAGAUACCUGACAUGGUGGCUCACACCUGUAAUCUCAGGACUUUGAGGUCAGGAAUUCGAGACCAGCCUGGCCAACAUGGUGAAACCCUGUCUGUACUAAAAUACAAAAAAAAAAAAAAAAUUAGCUGGUCAUGGUAGCGGGUGCCUGUAAUCCCAGCUACUCAGGAGUCUGAGGCAGGAGAAUCACUUGAACCUGGGAGGCAGAGGUUGCAGUGGGCUAUCGUACCACUGCACUCCAGCUUGGGUGACAGAGUAAGACUCUAUCUUAAAAAAAAAAAGAAAAGAAAAGAAAAGAAAAAGGAAAUAGAUAAUUAUAAUAAAAAAGAUGAGUAUGAUAGACAUUUUUAAUUCAUUAUUGAUUUUAGUAAGUUAUAGAGUUAUUUGUGCAUGUGCGUUUUUGGUUGCAUCUAGUUAGUAUAUGUCUGUGUGUAAGGAAUUUAUUUGUACUAGUUUCUAUGUGAGCAAGAAUAAGCAAUGACUGAGAACUGUCAAUUAACCAGGUAGCCCUGGGAAACAAACACCCAGCCAGAACAUUUAGAUCAGAGCAAAGAGUGGUACCAGUAAGGGUGCUUCACAAGAACCCAUCUCAGUGGUCUCGUCCAGUAACCAAAUGGGUUUCACCAGUAAAUUCCAAAGGUAGAAUUAACUACAACCCUCUAAGUCAGUGCCAUCCAAAGAAAGACACUCUAAGCCACCUGUGCAAUUUAAAACUUUCUAAUGACCCAAUUUUUAAAAAAUAAAGUAAAAUUAAUCAAGUAAAAUUAAUUUUUACAAGCUAUUUCAUUUGUCCCAAUAUAUUCAAUGUAAUAGCAUUUUCAAUUGUGGCACUAGACACAUUUUCAAAAGCUCAGUUGUCAUAUGUGGCUGUUCUGCAAAGAACUAUUUAAUCAGACUCACUCUUACUCUCCCAAGAGAUGAUAAAUCUUUAUAGCUGCGCUAAUUAAGAAAACACUGAUGUUUAGUAGUUACAUGAACCAGGGUGAUCUGUUUCGAUGGUAGGCUCUGUGUGGGGCAUGGUAAGGCAUGAGAACAUAGAGAUCACUUGUCUCCACAGAUUAAAAAGCAGAAGACACGCAGGACCAAGAGAGCCUGAUGGUGUAAGAAGUGAAACCAUGUCAUAAACAUGGCUACUCCACUGGCCCGAGAGGCCCAGCCUCGCCAUGGACUGCACACCUGCUAGGGGAAAUGCUCUGAGAUAGUCCUGCUUUUUUUUUCAGGGAGUGGGAAUAGUAGUCAUAAGAAUAUUGAAAACCUAGAAAGGCUUGAGAAAAAGCCCACAGGAAGGAGCAUUAGCAAUAACAGUAAAGAAGAGACAGAAGAAAAAUGUUUUAAAAAAUUAAAUGCACUCUUAUAAACAUACAGUGGUAAGAAUUCUUCUCUACCUAUUGUGUCCAGAAUUGGUUCCUUCCGGUGGAUUCGUGGUCUUGCUGACUUCAAGAAUGGAGCUGCGGACUUUUGCCGUGAGUGUUUCAGCUCUUAAAGAUGGGCCGGACACAAACAGUGAGCAGCAGCAAGAUUUAUUGCGAAGAAUGAAAGACCAAAACUUCCACAAUGUGGAAGGAGACCUGGGUUGCCUGUGCCGGCUGGGGGGUGGCCAGCUUUUAUUCCCUUAUUUGUCCCCGCCCAUGUCCUGCUGAUUGGUCCAUUUUACAGAGUGCCCAUUGGUCUAUUUUACAGAGCACUGAUUGGUCCAUUUUACAGAGUGCUGAUAGGUCCAUUUUACAGAGCACUGAUUGAUCCAUUUUACAAACCUUGAGCUAGCUACAGAGCGCUGAAUGGUGCAUUUUUACAGAGCGCUGAUUGGUGCAUUUUACAAACCUCUUGCUAGCUACAGAUCGCUGAUCGGUGCGUUUUACAAUCCUCUUGUGAGACAGGAAAGUUCUCCAAGUCCCCACUCGACCCAGGAAGUCCAGCUGGCUUCACCUCUCACUACUAACACACCUCUCACAUUAAAAAUGUAUCAGACUUGGGUAUGUGCUGACCUCCUCAAGGUCUACUCCCUCCCAAAAGAGGGGGAGGGUGUUAUUCUUCCCAUUAAGUAAUUAAAUUACUUGAAUAAUUUAGCACAUGAUCUACUAGUAACUAAUCUGUGGUAUUUGCAUUUAGACUAUAGACAGGCUUUUCCCAAAGACUUGAAAAGAAGGGACAUCAGAUGAGCCUCUUAAAGUCCCUAAAGAUCAGGCAAGGUGAAGAAAGAACCUCGAGAGCGCCUUGAAGACAGACAGACCGGCAGGCUGAGCUGCUAACUGGUCGCCCACACCAGAUUACCGUAAGAGUAUGUGUGUCAGUCAAGUGUCUGGCCAGGUUUGGAAGCCAGGAAAAAGUGAGAGACAGCAGCAAACAGCUCCAUCACUUGGUUAGACCCCACUCCCCGAGCAGCAGUGGCAAGGAAAGCCAGCCUGGAAUGCAGUGGCUGCAGCUGUCCCCUCGGCCUGAGGCCCUUGGACACUGGGCCUGUGCAACUAACUACUCCCACUCUGAGCCCAUGUUCCGCGGGCAGCCCCCGACAUCUGUGCAGAUGGAGGACUGGGGUCACCCUGCAGCUAUACCAGCCAGCCUGCUGAGAAGAUUCUGCAUCUCCUAAGAUGUCGCUUGCUAUUCUGACAUCAUAUCUUGGUCUCUUUUGUUUAAUUAUGACAAAGCAUUCUCUGCAAAAUGCCGCUGUUCUCAUCAUCCUGGUCCAAGCCAAGUUCUGAAUCUGAGAGCGGGACACCAGCCCGAAGCCAAAGCCUCAGAAUACGAAGUGCCCUGCCUUCCAUCCCAGCCCACCCAGACAAGCAACUGAACAAAGUGGAAUAUGGGCUAGUGUUGAGAAGCCAUUCUCAAACCUCCACCAGGGGCUUGCUACAUGACUGGGGACUCCAUGCAAGAAAAUGUGGGGCUCCUCAUUCACAAAAUAGAAAAAGGUAUAAUUAAAGGUAUUAAAAUGUAAAGCAUUUUCUUUUAAAACUAUUUUAUUACUGAUAAAACUUGAGGGUGAUUAGUCAAUAUACUACAGAGAAACAGAACCAAUAGGUUAAUAGGUAGAUGAUAGAUAGAUAAUAAAUAGGUAGACAGAUAGAUAGAAGAUAGAUGGUGAUAUAGUUUUGCUGUGUCCCCACCAAAAUCUCAUCUUGAAUUGUAGUUCCCAGAAUCCCCAUGUAUCAUAAGAGGGACCCAGUGGGAGGUAAUUGAAUCAUGGGGUGGUUAACCCCAUGCUGUUCUCAUGAUAGUGAGUGAGUUCUCACGAGAUCUGAUGGUUUUAUAAGGGACUUUUCUCCGUUUGCUUUGGCACUUCUCAUUCCUACCGCCACAUGAAGAAAGAUGUGUUUGCUUUCUCUUCUGCCGUGAUUAUAAGUUACCUGAGGUAUCCCCAGCCCUGUGAGUCAAUUUAACCUCUUUCCUUUAUAAAUUACCCAGUGUCGGGCAGCUCUUUAUAGCAGCGUGAGAACGAAGUAAUACAGGUAAAUAGUAAGAGGAAGAGGAGAGAUACACAAUAAGGAAUUGGUUCACACAAUUACAGAGGCUAGGAAGUUGCAAGAUCUGCAGUCAGCAGUUACAGACCCAGGAGAGCUGACAAUGUAAGUUCCAGUCCAAGUUUGAAUUUGAGGUCAGAAGGAGACCAAUCUCCCAGUGCAAAGACAGGCAAAGAAAGCAAGUUCUGUCACUCCACCUUUUGUGUUCUAUUCAGGCCUUCAACAGGUUGGAUGAUGCUCACCUGCACCUGGGAGGGCCAUCUGCUAAUUCCAAUGCUGAUCUUAUCCAGAAACACCCUCACAGACACACCUAGAAAUAAUGUUUAACCAAAUAUCUUGGCACCUUACAGCAUAGUUGGGUUGUAACAAAAAAUUAACCUUCACAAGGGGUAAUAGUUUUACCUGAGUAA
rnacentral:lncRNA from 1 species